GCGCCUGUAGCUCAGCAGGAUAGAGCAUCUGCCUUCUAAGCAGGUUGUCGGGAGUUCGAAUCUCUCCAGGCGCACCA
rnacentral:tRNA from 1 species